AUCGAGAGCGGAUUUGCAAGCGGACACGAGCAAGGAGUGCUUCCGCCAAGCAGCAUUCUUGACAAUUUUAUCGAAUGAAGGGCCGAGGACGCGGCCGCAGCGCGAAGAACCCCCCAGGGUUUGAGAAGCAGACAUUGUAGUGUGUGAGAGUUGUGGAAAUGGAAAUGCGUAGAUCUACAUGCCCAUGAUCUCCUUCUGAAGAAAAGGAAAAGAUGGCGGAG
rnacentral:misc_RNA from 1 species